rnacentral:tRNA from 1 species
GUCGGGAUAGCUCAGCUGGUAGAGCAGAGGACUGAAUAU